AGUUUUGACCCGGUAACAUUAAGCCAUGGUGCUUAACCUCACCAAAUACUGUUCACAAAAGCACUCUGGGGAAGGGGAGCUAUUUGGCAUGCUCUGUUUCGCUGUGCUAUGUCAUAUCAUAACUGGUCCUGGCCACACCUAGUGCAUUAGUCCUCGUGCGGGCUGCAAACACAACCUCAUUACUCCUGGCUGCCGGAUGAGCAGAGCAGAAGGCGAUCAAACUACAGCGCAAACCCGUUAGAAGGCAGAAAUUCAAGGGACAGCUGCAGAACAAAACUAGAACAGGAACUUUACGAAGUAGAGCCCAUCAUCUACCUGGACCAGGAGGAGCACCCGAGUCAACCCGAGACCCUACCUGCGGCAGUGCUGGGGAGAGCCAUGCCGGACUCCUUCACCAUCCACUUCCUGAAGGUGCUGAGGGAGCUGCUGGCCUUCGUGCUCUUCAGCUACACCGUGCUGGUCGGGGCGCUGCUGCUCGCCGGGUGGACGACGUACUUCUUGGUGCUUAAAUGAGAGCUCUCCAGAGGCAAGAGGCUCCACUGUGCAGCUCAUCCUGCACGUCUGCUCAUCACAUGGGAUGCUCCCUUCAUCCUGCAAGUGUUUUGUUCUGUUACUGCCUAAUCACAGUCUUAUUUUCUUAUGUAAAAAGAAUAAAGGCUUCAAAAGCAUCUACAUGCAUGCACUUUA